GGUCCUAAAGAGGGAGGCUUUUUUCUCACGUCUCCAGAAGGGCGCCGUCUUCUGGACGAGUUCAGGUGUUGUUACGUCCUCCGGCCGUCCAUAGCGUUUCUACUCGUGAGGAUUCUUCAAUUCAUCACUCCAAGCAACGUUUUUUCAACGUCACCGUGGAGUUCUUGAGUCUGUUUAGCUGAUUGGAGAGCUAGCUUGCACAGCUAGCGGGUCCAUGACAGUGACUUCUGUUUUGUUUGAUCAGCCGUUUUACUGCCUUGAAACAGACACCGUUUGGAAAC